rnacentral:tRNA from 1 species
CCUUCAUUGGUGUAGUUGGUCAGCACUGGCGACUUUGAAUCGCCCGACACCAGUUCGACUCUGGUAUGAAGGU